AACUAGAGUCUUGUAGAGGGGGGUAGAAUUUCAGGUGUAGCGGUGAAAUGCGUAGAGAUCUGAAGGAAUACCGGUGGCGAAGGCGGCCCCCUGGACAAAGACUGACGCUCAGGUACGAAAGCGUGGGGAGCAAACAGGAUUAGAUACCCUGGUAGUCCACGCCGUAAACGAUGUCUACUCGGAAUUUGGUGCCUU
rnacentral:rRNA from 1 species